ACAACCCUCCUCCUUUGAUACAGAGCUCCUCCACGCUCUCGGGAUGCCCCCCCCCCCCGCCAGCACUUCAGUGGUAUAACCCACAAGGCGCUACCCCGGCCGCACUUGGUACGGCUCCCUCCCCAGCAGUUCCCCCACCUCCCCAAACACGCUCAAGGAACUGCUCCCACAGCCCCGAAUAGGUACGGCCCCCUACACUCGGAACUGACGUCAAAGAGCGAGAGAUGAACUCGGAGAGCGCUAGAGCGCAAGCGCAAGAAAGGGCAAGAGGCUGACUCAGAGCAGGACGCAUGCGUACAGCAGGCAAGUUUGGGUCGAUGUGGGUUACGGAGGUGCCACGCGCAAGCGCCCGACGGAAAGAAGAGACAGGAUGGCGCAGGCGCAGUAGGACUCUGACACCCGUUUUCCCUAAAGUCUUGCCGCAGUGAUACUUCCCGGCAGCCCCUGGUCUGUAUUUACAUACGCUUUGAUCUCGCUUUACUGUGAUCUCGCCUUUCCUCCCAGUUCCGAGGCUCUUAAAGAGCCCCGGAGCGGGGGUUUUGAGAGUUGUCUUUUCAGUGUGUCCCCUCAUGAUGAGUAUAGGCUCUGAAGCCUCACAAAGCCAGCUUUGCAUUCAUUCCCUUGCUGGUGAUUGUAGGCAGAAGACUUGACCGGUUUUCUGUGCCUCUGAAUCCACAUCUGCAAAAUGGAAACGGAGCUGUGUCACCAAGCUAUUGGACUUUUUAAUGUUAAACAGAACACUUUAUAUCAAUUAAACAUUCUGUGACUCCAAA